UGAACGCUGGCGGCAUGCUUUACACAUGCAAGUCGAACGGCAGCACGGGGGCAACCCUGGUGGCGAGUGGCGAACGGGUGAGUAAUAUAUCGGAACGUACCCAAGAGUGGGGGAUAACGUAGCGAAAGUUACGCUAAUACCGCAUACGAUCUACGGAUGAAAGUGGGGGAUUCGCAAGAACCUCAUGCUCGUGGAGCGGCCGAUAUCUGAUUAGCUAGUUGGUAGGGUAAAAGCCUACCAAGGCAUCGAUCAGUAGCUGGUCUGAGAGGACGACCAGCCACACUGGGACUGAGACACGGCCCAGACUCCUACGGGAGGCAGCAGUGGGGAAUUUUGGACAAUGGGCGCAAGCCUGAUCCAGCAAUGCCGCGUGAGUGAAGAAGGCCUUCGGGUUGUAAAGCUCUUUUGUCAGGGAAGAAACGGUGGGAGCUAAUAUCUCCCACUAAUGACGGUACCUGAAGAAUAAGCACCGGCUAACUACGUGCCAGCAGCCGCGGUAAUACGUAGGGUGCAAGCGUUAAUCGGAAUUACUGGGCGUAAAGCGUGCGCAGGCGGUUGUGCAAGACAGAUGUGAAAUCCCCGGGCUCAACCUGGGAAUUGCAUUUGUGACUGUACGGCUAGAGUGUGUCAGAGGGGGGUAGAAUUCCACGUGUAGCAGUGAAAUGCGUAGAGAUGUGGAGGAAUACCGAUGGCGAAGGCAGCCCCCUGGGAUAACACUGACGCUCAUGCACGAAAGCG
rnacentral:rRNA from 1 species